rnacentral:lncRNA from 1 species
AUGCAUGGAAACCUGAUGGGGGAGGGAUUUAGAAAGGAAGCCUUUGGCUUUCUUCUGAAUGGCAGCUUUGAAGGGAUCACAGUUACCUACAUGGUAAAGAACCUGCAGACACCUGAGGGUUACCUUUAUACACCCAAAACGUCCUUCACUUUGAAAUCUCUAGCCUUCAUCCAAAUCGUUUAUGUGUGGUCAAGGGACAGGAUGUUUCUCUUUUCCUGCUUCUCCCUUUCCUUUUUUGCCAUCCCACUCUUACUUCCUUCCCUUUCUCACCAGAAGAUGCACCUGUGCCAUAUCCUAACUAAUCCAAAGCACGUUUCUAUGAAACAAAGGCAGCAGCCACACUGUGCAUGGUCGAUCAGCAGCAAUGGCAAUUUGCACCCAAUACCAAACUCAGCUGCAAGACAGCAGCUUCCUCCUUCCAGCUGCAGCCCAGAAAUUCAGACAUCCAAGGCUGGUAGGUGCAGCAUCCUGAUGUGAGAUGAAGUUUGGAUAUGAUUUACUGUUAAAAUCACUCCUGGAGCUGGCUAGGCUACAAACAGGGAACACAUCACACAUCUCCACAGUUGCAAGGCAGUGGUCUAACUACUGCAAUAGCUCUUCCUCGGUAGUUUCUUCCAGAUGUAAUCAGAAGUCAAACUGCGCAUUCAUAUUAAGAUCAGGUGAGACUUGCACAUAAUUUUAAACCCAGUUCUUUGCCUCUCUUGCCUCUCUCAUCAUUCACUUUUAAGCAGGUUGUCCUCUUUCACAAAGGACAUUUUGAGGUACUUUUCUGAACUGUGACAAAUAUUUUCAAGGCAGCAGAGACAAAAGUUAAGCUGCAGAUGCCACUGGAAGAUUAAAGAAAGGAACUUAACAUUUCGUUCUUUCAAACUUUGGGUAUAACGUAUCUGUUGUGGUUUAGCUUUUUUAGAUGUUAAUAUUGCAAAGAAUUUCUUCCUAUUUGUGCAAAAAAAAAAAAAUUACAGGAGAUCAAGAGUUAUCUAACACGCAUAAUGUAAGCAAAUCAUUUAUGAAGGCACAGUAAGCCUUGUGGUCAACUGUGUUGUACAAAAUAUUAGAAGGAAAAUGUGGCCUCCGGUAUCAUUACACACUUAUGCUCAGCACUAAUAAAAAAAAGUAAAUGACCUGAUAUCA